rnacentral:pre_miRNA from 1 species
AGUAGACUUGCUGGAUCAUAUGACCACUCUGUGUUUAAUUGUUUGAGUCAUUUCCAGACGUUUCCUGACAAUUUUGUCAUUUGAUAUUCCCAUCAGCAGU